UUUGUACUCCCUCCGUCCAACAAAGGAUGUCUUAAGUUUGCCAAAAUUUGAAUGUAUACAUGACUUCAAAUUUAGUCAAAUUUGAGACAUUUUUUGUUGGACGGAGAGAAUAUAAC
rfam:Brachypodium distachyon strain Bd21 chromosome 1, whole genome shotgun sequence.